AACGAACGCUGGCGGCAUGCCUAACACAUGCAAGUCGAACGAGACCUUCGGGUCUAGUGGCGCACGGUUGCGUAACGCGUGGGAACCUGCCCUUAGGUUCGGAAUAACUCCCCGAAAGGGGUGCUAAUACCGGAUAAUGUCUUCGGACCAAAGAUUUAUCGCCUUUGGAUGGUCCCGCGUUGGAUUAGCUAGUUUGUAUGGUAAAAGCCUACCAAGGCGACGAUCCAUAGCUGGUCUGAGAGGAUGAUCAGCCACACUGGGACUGAGACACGGCCCAGACUCCUACGGGAGGCAGCAGUGGGGAAUAGUGGACAAUGGGCGAAAGCCUGAACCAGCAAUGCCGCGUGAGUGAUGAAGGCAUUAGGGUUGUAAAGCUCUUUUACCCGGGAUGAUAAUGACAGUACCGGGAGAAUAAGCGCCGGCUAACUCCGUG
rnacentral:rRNA from 1 species